rnacentral:rRNA from 1 species
GAUGAACGCUGGCGGCAUGCAUAAUACAUGCAAGUCGAACGGCAGCACAGGUAUGAAUACUGGGUGCCAAGGGGCGCACGGGUGCGUAACACGAAGGAAACCUACCCUAUACAGGCGAAAAACCGGGAGAAAUGAGAGCUGAUACGACGUAGUAAUACAGAUGGGCGGCUAUUUGUAAUUAAAAAUUUAUCGGGAUGGGAUGGGCAUGCGUUUCAUUAGUUAGUUGGUAAGGUAACGGCUUAACAAGACGAUGAUGGGUAGGGGAUCUGAGUGGACGUACCGCCACAGUGGGACUGAGGCACGAACGAGACUGCUACGCGAGGCAGACGUAUGGAAUAUUGAGCAGUGGGCGCGAGGGUGACACAGCCACGCCGCGUGUAGGAAGACGGCCUUAGGAGUUGUAAGCUGCUUUUAUACGAGAAUAAUAGAGUGUACGCGUACAUUUAUGACAGUAGCGGAUGAAUAAGCGACGGCUAACUCCGUG